rnacentral:lncRNA from 1 species
UCUGGUACCCUCAGGAUCGUGACCCAUUUGGGGUCAUGACACCAGGUUUCCCUCUGAUCAAACUCCUUAGGAAGGAAGAUGAAGAGGAUGUUAUUUCCAAGACUCCUUGACCUCUUCUUCCUCCCAAGCUUCCUGCAGUGAGGCAAGAACCCUGCCUCCUUUUGGUGUCUCUUCUGAUAGGAAGAUUGAUCAACUGCAGCUGGGAAAAGGAUCAAAGAGGACAGCCAGCAGCCCUUGGAGCUUCCCCUUUAGGAAAGAGAACAGCAAAGCAGGCUCUGUCAGAGAGUCUUGGAAUCAUGGAUGGAACUUUGGAGAGGAGAGAGACUCCCACAUCUCCGAGGUCAAGUGACAUGGAAGAGAGCUCCUCCCAGAGGUCGCUAUUGGUCAGUCCUGCUCGUUCUGUCGGCACCCAUGAGCUGGAAACCAAAAGCUCAUAUGCUGGGGAAAGGACAUGCUGCUGUUCCACCUCAUUACUCCCUUCUCACCGAGAAGUAAUAUCCAGGGCAUCUUCAGCUGGAAACCCAAUACCAGUCCCUAAGAGUAGAAAGGAGGCUGUUACAGUUUCUCAGACCUCUUCCUCCCCUUCUUCUCCCUCCUCUUCCUUUUCCACCUCGUCAUGCUUCUUUUCCACCUCAUCCUUCUCCUCUUACCACUACAGCUCCUCUUCCUCCUCGUCCUCUACCUCCUCCUCCUCCUUUUUCUCCUCUUCCCUCUCUUCUACUGUCACCUCUGCCUUGUCCUCCUCCUCCUCCUCCUCUUCUUUGUCCUCCUCUUCCCCAUCAUCCUUGUCCUCUUCCCACACCUCAGGCAGUUGGAUAGGCACCCUGCUUCCCUCUGGGGAGUCUCCUCAAGAUGGAGGGACUGAACACCAGCUUCUGAGCGGAAAGAUCCAACCCGAUGUCAUCAAACAGCAGCUGGAGCUACACCUCCAAAACAGGAUCAUCUGGCAACAAAAUCGUCCUCCAAAGAGAGUCCAGGAGUCCCUUAGCCUGCUGCUGCCCCAAUGUGGAGACUGGGAGAAGGGAGGAAUGACCCCAUCCCAGAGUGCCAGCCAGACUGAGAAGAGUUGUGAGCUGCAACUCAGCUCAGACAGCCCUAAGUAUUCCACCCGUAGCACCCAGGACCUGAAAACCAAACUCCUUUACUCUGGGGAAAGCUUCCCCUACUGCUCACCUCCUUCAGUCUCUUCUGCUCGAAAAGAGGAGACUACAUCCAAAGCUUAUUCAGAGCACGCCCAACAUCCAGAUACUGACCCUCCUAGAGAGCCUGUCCCAGGGCUCAGCACCAUCUCCUACACACCAUCUCCAUCCUUCUCUCCUCCUUUCUCAGCACCAUCUCCUACACACCAUCUCCAUCUUCUCUCCACCUUCUCAGCCUGCUUGGCCUCCUCUUCCUGUGGAUGCUCCUGUAGUAUGACAGAUAUCCUGGUUCCCUCUGAUAUCUCCCCUGAUGAGGAAAGGACAAAACAACUGAAGAUGAAGACAGGAUCAGGGAGGAUGACUUUGAACUGCCACCUGAGUUUCAACUUCACAAAAUGCCCUUGAAGCAGCAGAAGGAUCUUCUUCUCCAGAGAAUACGCAAACCUCAGAUUCUGCUCUCGCCCGAAGUUGGGGACCGAGAGAAGGGAGAGAUGGGCUGGUCCCUGAAGCCCAGUCAGAUAUGUGGGAGUCCAGGAUGGCCAGAAGCCAGUCUCUAUGACCCGAUCACCCUCCUGGAGACCAACAUCAGGCAGAAAUAUCAGGCCUUCCUUCUGGGCCUGCAUGACAUCAAAUAGACUCAUCCGUGUCAGUGGCAGGGGAAGGAAGAACCAACCCGGCCUCAUUCCCAAUUCAACUUGAAAGCCUGGCACAGAGGGCAUAUUGAACAUGGUGUGAGCUCUGGCCGUGGAUCUGUCCUCUGGUGGUUCCCGGGGUACUGAUCCCCGAGCCCAAAAUUACCUCCCUGCCAUGGUGGCAUUGGCUGGAAACUGGUGUCCUUAAGGCUCCUGACAUCUCUCAGUGAAUACCUAAAAUGAAGUCCCCUUAUGGUUUGUUUUAUCUUACUUUCUCAAUGAAAUGGCAGAAGGAUAAGGAUCAUCGGCUUUCCUCCCUUCAGCCCCCCUCUUCUGCCAC